AGUGAACGCUGGCGGCAGGCCUAACACAUGCAAGUCGAGCGAACCUUUCGGGGUUAGUGGCGUAUGGGUGAGUAACCCGUGGGAACGUGCCUUUAGGUUCGGAAUAACUCAGGGAAACUUGUGCUAAUACCGAACGUGCCCUUCGGGGGAAAGAUCUAUCGACUUUAGAGCGUCCUGCGUCUGAUUAGCUAGUUGUUUGAGUUAAUGGUUCACCAAGGCGACGAUCAGUAGUUGGUCUGAGAGGAUGUUCAGCGACAUUGGGACUGAGACACGGCCCAAACUCCUACGGGAGGCGGCAGUGGGGAAUCUUGCGCAAUGGGCGAAGGCCUGACGCAGCCAUGACGCGUGAAUGAUGAAGGUCUUAGGAUUGUAAAAUUCUUUCACCGGGGACGAUAAUGACGGUACCCGGAGAAGAAGCCCCGGCUAACUUCGUG
rnacentral:rRNA from 1 species